UACGUAGGUGGCAAGCGUUGUCCGGAAUUAUUGGGCGUAAAGCGCGCGCAGGCGGCCUUUUAAGUCUGAUGUGAAAUCUUGCGGCUCAACCGCAAGCGGCCAUUGGAAAACUGGGAGGCUUGAGUACAGAAGAGGAGAGUGGAAUUCCACGUGUAGCGGUGAAAUGCGUAGAUAUGUGGAGGAACACCAGUGGCGAAGGCAACUCGCUGGGACGUUACUGACGCUGAGACGCGAAAAGCGUGGGGGAGCAAACAGG
rnacentral:rRNA from 1 species